GUGAAGGAUGAGCCCGCGGCCUAUCAGCUUGUUGGUGAGGUAGUGGCUCACCAAGGCGACGACGGGUAGCCGGCCUGAGAGGGCGACCGGCCACACUGGGACUGAGACACGGCCCAGACUCCUACGGGAGGCAGCAGUGGGGAAUAUUGCACAAUGGGCGAAAGCCUGAUGCAGCGACGCCGCGUGAGGGAUGACGGCCUUCGGGUUGUAAACCUCUUUCAGCAGGGAAGAAGCGAAAGUGACGGUACCUGCAGAAGAAGCGCCGGCUAACUACGUGCCAGCAGCCGCGGUAAUACGUAGGGCGCAAGCGUUGUCCGGAAUUAUUGGGCGUAAAGAGCUCGUAGGCGGCUUGUCACGUCGGGUGUGAAAGCCCGGGGCUUAACCCCGGGUCUGCAUUCGAUACGGGCUAGCUAGAGUGUGGUAGGGGAGAUCGGAAUUCCUGGUGUAGCGGUGAAAUGCGCAGAUAUCAGGAGGAACACCGGUGGCGAAGGCGGAUCUCUGGGCCAUUACUGACGCUGAGGAGCGAAAGCGUGGGGAGCGAACAGGAUUAGAUACCCUGGUAGUCCACGCCGUAAACGGUGGGAACUAGGUGUUGGCGACAUUCCACGUCGUCGGUGCCGCAGCUAACGCAUUAAGUUCCCCGCCUGGGGGAGUACGGCCGCAAGGCUAAAACUCAAAGGAA
rnacentral:rRNA from 1 species